AAUGGAUACAGAAAAUAUGGGAGAACGUUUUGUGCUUGAAUUAAACCCCCACAGGAAAGAGGACAUACCUACAGUGACCUUCUCCCGGUCAUCUGUACCUUGGAUCUGUGUGGCUUGAAGCCACUGCCUUGCCCUCAAGAUGGUUGCUUCCCUCCUUUCCUGAGGCCUUGGAGCAUCCCUGUCCCCACUAAAAGUACGUGCAGGUGAGGAGUCAUGUUUGGGAUCUAGGGA